rnacentral:rRNA from 1 species
ACGAACGCUGGCGGCGUGGAUAAGACAUGCAAGUCGAACGAGAGAAUUGCUAGCUUGCUAAUAAUUCUCUAGUGGCGCACGGGUGAGUAACACGUGAGUAACCUGCCCCCGAGAGCGGGAUAGCCCUGGGAAACUGGGAUUAAUACCGCAUAGUAUCGAAAGAUUAAAGCAGCAAUGCGCUUGGGGAUGGGCUCGCGGCCUAUUAGUUAGUUGGUGAGGUAACGGCUCACCAAGGCGAUGACGGGUAGCCGGUCUGAGAGGAUGUCCGGCCACACUGGAACUGAGACACGGUCCAGACACCUACGGGUGGCAGCAGUCGAGAAUCAUUCACAAUGGGGGAAACCCUGAUGGUGUGACGCCGCGUGGGGGAAUGAAGGUCUUCGGAUUGUAAACCCCUGUCAUGUGGGAGCAAAUUAAAAAGAUAGUACCACAAGAGGAAGAGACGGCUAACUCUGUGCCAGCAGCCGCGGUAAUACAGAGGUCUCAAGCGUUGUUCGGAAUCACUGGGCGUAAAGCGUGCGUAGGCUGUUUCGUAAGUCGUGUGUGAAAGGCGCGGGCUCAACCCGCGGACGGCACAUGAUACUGCGAGACUAGAGUAAUGGAGGGGGAACCGGAAUUCUCGGUGUAGCAGUGAAAUGCGUAGAUAUCGAGAGGAACACUCGUGGCGAAGGCGGGUUCCUGGACAUUAACUGGCGCUGAGGCACGAAGGCCAGGGGAGCGAAAGGGAUUAGAUACCCCUGUAGUCCUGGCAGUAAACGGUGCACGCUUGGUGUGCGGGGAAUCGACCCCCUGCGUGCCGGAGCUAACGCGUUAAGCGUGCCGCCUGGGGAGUACGGUCGCAAGAUUAAAACUCAAAGAAAUUGACGGGGACCCGCACAAGCGGUGGAGUAUGUGGCUUAAUUCGAUGCAACGCGAAGAACCUUACCUGGGCUUGACAUGUAAUGAACAACAUGUGAAAGCAUGCGACUCUUCGGAGGCGUUACACAGGUGCUGCAUGGCCGUCGUCAGCUCGUGUCGUGAGAUGUUUGGUUAAGUCCAGCAACGAGCGCAACCCCUGUUGCCAGUUACCAGCACGUGAAGGUGGGGACUCUGGCGAGACUGCCCAGAUCAACUGGGAGGAAGGUGGGGACGACGUCAGGUCAGUAUGGCCCUUAUGCCCAGGGCUGCACACGUACUACAAUGCCCAGUACAGAGGGGGCCGAAGCCGCGAGGCGGAGGAAAUCCUGAAAACUGGGCCCAGUUCGGACUGUAGGCUGCAACCCGCCUACACGAAGCCGGAAUCGCUAGUAAUGGCGCAUCAGCUACGGCGCCGUGAAUACGUUCCCGGGUCUUGUACACACCGCCCGUCACAUCAUGGAAGCCGGUCGCACCCGAAGUAUCUGAAGCCAACCGCAAGGAGGCAGGGUCCUAAGGUGAGACUGGUAACUGGGAUG